CAUAGACUAUGACAAUUACUAUGCACACUUUUCUCAAUACAGACUUAAGAAACGUGAGCUCUUUCUCUUCCUUUCUUACGUGUAUUUUCAAAGAAACGCAUCUCACUGCACAUGUCAACACCUCAGUUUCUUCUCAAUUUCAUUCUUAAACCCUACAACCCUUUUCAUUAAUUCAAUCUUCUUCUUUUGGAAUCAAUUUAUUCUUCAUUGAUUCUAAGUUUCUCUCCCUCUCUAACUCUUGAGAUGUUUCAAUUUCUCUUUUCCCAAAAUUGUUCAUAUAUUCCUUUCACCAUCAACCUUUCUUCCGCUGUCGUCAGCCUCGCUGCCAUCUCUCCUUUAUUGACUUCUAGGGUUCGACAUCUCUUCAUUUCUUUAUCUAUCGAGUUUGCAUCUCCCGUUGUGAAUCAAAAAUCAACCGCACCAUUCCCACUAUUUCAUCUCCGUUGCGAAAUCAAAUGCCUAUGGGUAAAACUUAUUUAGAAGACAAUGACAUAGAAACCAAGAGCUUGCUAGCAAUAAAGGAAAAUUAAGUGUUGUGAAGAGUCUGUCAAGUUGCCACAAGUUUUGGUAGAUUUUAGAGAUGGCCAUCAACCCGUCUUAUGUUUAUCAUUUGUCAUUGUUAGCUUUUAUUACCAUUAUAUGUCUGUAAUAUAUCUGAAAUGAAAUGUAUUUACUAUUCAAUUGGGUGAAAGGUUUAUAAGCAUAUAUUUGUGUGCA